rnacentral:rRNA from 1 species
GACGAACGCUGGCGGCGUGCUUAACACAUGCAAGUCGAACGGAAAGGCCCUGCUUUUGUGGGGUGCUCGAGUGGCGAACGGGUGAGUAACACGUGAGUAACCUGCCCUUGACUUUGGGAUAACUUCAGGAAACUGGGGCUAAUACCGGAUAGGAGCUCCUGCUGCAUGGUGGGGGUUGGAAAGUUUCGGCGGUUGGGGAUGGACUCGCGGCUUAUCAGCUUGUUGGUGGGGUAGUGGCUUACCAAGGCUUUGACGGGUAGCCGGCCUGAGAGGGUGACCGGCCACAUUGGACUGGGGAUACGGCCCAGACUCGUACGGGAGGCAAGAGUGGAGUAUGUUGCACAAUGGGCGGAAGCCUGAUGCAGCAACGCCGCGUGCGGGAUGACGGCCAUCGGGUUGUAAACCGCUGUCGCCUUUGACGAAGCGUGAAUGACGGUAAUGGGUGAAGAAGCACCGGCUAACUACGUG